UUUCUGACAGUAUUAGCAGAUGCCCACUUCCCGACCAGUUCAAUUUGUUCACAUGGACCUCGAGAAGUAAGAGCUGAUGGUCACAGUAUACCAGCCCUCCUUGAUGCCAUCCUGACUCUGUUGCCCUUGGAUACGUAUGUGCCAUCUCCCGGAAGCAAGCCAAAUAAAAAAGUGAAGGGGAAGUGAAGAGAGAGGUGGCUUACAAGAGAAGAAAGAUGAGGGAUGCAAUACCACAUCGAGAUAGUACGUGACCGAGCAGGUUGCCUGCUAAAAAGAGGACAGGGAUUCUCCUAAUUUGGUCAAAGCGGAGGAAGUAAGGUGUGGAUCGUGGACAUUUGUUUAACCUGCCACUUCACGCUGAAUGGGAUGUCCCGGUUUUCAGGGGUCAUCCGUAGACGUCAACGUCAACGCCAGUGACCGGUCUUGGAACAGGAUGUGGGCAUUCUGUGCCACCGGUUGCCAGGCUGGAACUGGAGUUGUAUUUGUUUAUGUUUUUACGCGGCAGACAAUUCAUGCGUUGGAUGUUAUCAUUCUAUGUCUAGGGAUGGCUUUUAACGUCACCGUCAGAUGGGUAUGACUAGUUUAGGACCAUUCUAUUGAAGGUGAUUUUGUUGGUUAUAUCAAAGACAAAGGAGCUGAUUUCUAGACAGAUAACUCAUCCUCCCCUGUCAAAAGUUUAUGAGUCAGAAGAUGCCAAACCAAAAUAUUGAUUGCAUAUGAUUUUGCCCCCUUACC